UUUGUUUAUCAGUAUGAAAAUAUUAAGUAAACCAAGCAAAGAACUUUCUGCUUACUUCGACUCAAUAGCGGAAUGCUAUAUUUUAUUAAAUGAUAUGGAAGCUGCAAUUGGCUACUGCGAAUCGGCCACAGAAAUGAUUGGUGAUUACUAUGGAAAGAACAGCUUUGAGUACGCUAACGAGCUGCAUAAGUUGGCUCAAUUGUACUUCAACACAAAAAAUGAAGAGAAAACUCUACAAACCAUCAGUCAAGCAAAAAGCAUCUUUAUUAAUUUUUACGGAGACGAUCUCACUGAAGUGACUAGCAAACAUCCUGUCGUUAGCGAUCUU